UACAGAGGUGGCAAGCGUUGCUCGGUGUCACUGGGCUUAAAGGGCGCGUAGGCGGCGUGGUACGGCUCAUGUGAAAUCCCUCGGCCCAACCGAGGAAUUGCAAGGGCGACGGCCAUGCUUGGCUGCAUCAGGGGAAGAUGGAACUCCCGGUGGAGCGGUGAAAUGCGUAGAUAUCGGGAGGAACGCCGGUGGCGAAAGCGAUCUUCUGGGGUGCAAGCGACGCUGAGGCGCGAAAGCUAGGGGAGCAAACGGG
rnacentral:rRNA from 1 species